GCACUUUGCUCUGAUGCAAAGUUUACAAAUCUCUAAGGUAUGAUAUGGAAGCUAUGCACGUCCAGCGUUAAACAUUGAACAAUUUUGGUACCAAAAAUUCAGCUUAGAGACAGCUUAAAGGCUAAGUUAGGUGCCAGCAGCCGCGGUCAUACCUACUUUAAUUGUAAACUUAAAUAGAUCUUUAUUUGUUAUAACAUUUAAUUCUUUCAUGAUAAAAUAUAAAGAUUUUUACCACCUAAUAUAAGCUAAUUAAUAACAAAACUUAACUGUAAACCAGGAUUAGAUACCCUGUUAUACUAAGUAUACACACCUUUGGUCUAAGCAGUAACGCCUUCUAGUAGAAACUUAAAGAGCAUGGCGGCCCGAAAAAUAUUCAGGGGAACUUACUUUGUAAUUGAUAACACACAAGAAGAUCAACUUUCUCAAAAAAGUUUGUAUACCGCCGUCUGCAGGCUAUUCUUAAAGAUAAGCCAUUUUUACUUUAAGACAGGUUAAGGUGCAACUAAUAAGAAAGAUUUAGCGAGUUACAUUAACAGAUUUGUGCGGAAUGAGGUUUUAAUAUACUCUUUAAGAUGGACUUGACAGUAAAAUAUAAUAAUCUACUACUAUUUGAACAUAAUCUUUUUAGGUGUACAAAUCGCCCGUCACUCUCGUUGAAAAAUGAGAUAAGUCGUAACACAGUAGGAGUAACGGAAGUUGUUCCU
rnacentral:ncRNA from 1 species